CAUAUUAGAGUUCGAUAUUUGAAUUUUUCUUUUACACUGAAAAGGUCUUGAUUAUACAGGUAAUAUGAUAA
rnacentral:tRNA from 1 species